UACCGGCGGCUCGAGUGGUGGCCACUAUUAUUGGGCUUAAAGCGUUCGUAGCUGGGUUGUUAAGUUUCUUGGGAAAUCUACCGGCUUAACCGAUAGGCGUCCAAGGGAUACUGGCAAUCUAGGGACCGGGAGAGGUGAGGGGUACUUCAGGGGUAGGAGUGAAAUCCUGUAAUCCUUGGGGGACCACCUGUGGCGAAGGCGCCUCACCAGAACGGCUCCGACAGUGAGGGACGAAAGCUGGGGGAGCAAACCGG
rnacentral:rRNA from 1 species